ACAGGUUUGAGGGAGAGCUCAAGCAAGUCACUGCUUUCCCUCCGCCAUCUUGGCUCUGCCCCCCCGAGGAGAACUGCCUUUUCCACUUUGUGUUUGCUUUCCUGAGUUCCCCUAUGGAGGAAAAUGAUUUUUGAACUGAGAAUGGAACAAAAAUGAUGAAGAGGGAGUUAACCUCAAGAGUCAUCGAAGUCCAGUGGCAAGACUGGUGAUGGCCCAAGAUGCAGUGAAUGACUUUGGCAUCUUCAACGUUCGACCAAGCUCUAAUUGCUCAGUUGUAACCCUCAAAAACUCAUUCAUGCUGUACUCACCUCAAUGGAGUGUGAGGGAGCAAUGUAAGUUAACCUAAUAUUAACAAAGCUAAUAAAUGUCUGAACUGGAUUCAGAUCUGGGUCUUCUGAUCUGAAAUCUAAUUCUCUUACUACUGUACCACACUGCCAUCCCUCAUGUUUGGAUGUGCUCUUUCUUUAAUCCUACCUUUUGAAAUCUUCCUCCUUCAAGGUCCAACUGAGGUGUCACUUUCUUCAUAAAGUCUUCCACGGUCUCACCAGUUGAAAAUGAUUUCUUUGCCCCCUCAAAUUGUCCUUUGGAUCUGGAUCUCUCCUUUGCCCCUACCACUCUCUGACCUUUAUCAUACUUACCUGGGAAUGGUGGCAGUGCCAUGACAAGAACUAGAGUGUGGUUGCAAAAUAGAUGUUUUAUUAAAAGUGAUAAAGAUCAAUGAUUAAAUAUGGAAGAUUACUUUUCCAGCGGCAAAGGAAGUCCUGUUACAGAUCUGGAAAACUGGCUAUAGGAACCUCAAUCCAUAUGGAAGCUUCAACUAGGAUGUUGCUGUUGUCAUGUCCAACUCUUUGUGACCUCAUUGGGUUUGCUCGGCAAAGAUACUG